GUUCUCACUCCCUCCCCCUUCCCGAGCCACAAUAACAGACAGGAGGCCGCUGGACAGACACAGCUGCAGUCUCGGAGCCGGAACAUGGUCCUCCCGUGGGCCCAGGCCCGCGCAGCCUCCACCGCCGCCUCGGCCUCUGAGUGCCCGAGAAUUUACUGAAGAGAUCAGGGAACUAAAUGGAGAAUCAUAAAAUCCUAAGUCAAACCCUUUAUGAAUCCAAACAACAACUUCGCUGAGAAAUGGUUGAUCAUCUACUCUCUUCUUGAAAACCUCCAGAGAUGGUGAGCCCACUCUUCAAAGACAGUUCAUUCUACUUUUGUAUUUUCCUAAUUAAUAGAAAUUUAUUACAUUGAGCUCUAACUCACCUUCAUGUAAAUUCUCUUCACUGGUUACAAUUCUAUCCUUUGUGUACAGGAAAUAUUUUUCUAAUCCAUUUUCCAAUUGAGAAACUCUGAAAGGAUAUAGGAAUAUGCUUAUUGGUUUGGGAAAAGAAAGAAUUAGGCAUUAGGUAGCUGGAGUUUCCAAGUUCAUUAGUUGAACCAUUUGGUUGCUUCUAAAUUUUGAUGUAUUUGUAUCGAUAAAAGGCAAUCAAGGGGGCAGCUGGGUAGCUCAGUGGAUUGAGAGCCAGGCCUAGAGACAGGAGAUCCUAGGU